GAUGAACGCUGGCGGCGUGCCUAAUACAUGCAAGUCGAGCGAACAGACGAUGAGCUUGCGCGGCGGACGUGAGGGGCAGGGGGGAGAGUAACGCGUGUAUAACGUACCUGUAAGACGGGGAUAAUUAGGGAAAACGGGAUCUAAUAGCAGAGGAGAUGUUGAAGCACGGGGGGGAACGGUGAAAGACGGUGGUUGGGGCAGGAAUAGAGGGAUCUGCGCCGGAUGAGGUGGUUGUGAAGGUAACGGCUUACCAAGGCAACGAUGCGUAGCCGACCUGAGGGGGUGAUAGGCCACCUUGGAAGUGAGACGCGGUCCAGACUCCUACGGGACGCCGCAGUAGGGAACCUUACGCAAUGGUCGAAAGCCUGACGGAGCAACGCCGAGUGAGUGACGAAGGUCUUCCGAUCGUAAAACUCUCUUAUUAGGGAAGAACAAAUGUCUAAGUAACCAUGCACGUCUUGACGGUACCUAAUCAGAAAGCCCCGGCUAACUACGUG
rnacentral:rRNA from 1 species